rnacentral:lncRNA from 1 species
UAAAUUCAAUCUCUAUCUCCCUCUCUGCCUCUCAGGGAAGAAGAAUGGAGGGGAAGCAAGUAAUCGGCGACGGCGUACCGCCGAGCCUUGCUGGAAUGUCCAAAAACCAGCUUUACGACAUCAUGUCUCAGAUGAAGGUGCUUAUCUGAUUGCUCACACCAAUUUUACUGUCUUUUUAUAAAUUUUUCUUUUUAAUAGAAUUAUUUGUUUGGGAGAUAGAAAAAAUUAAAAAUUAAUUCUGGUUGUCCUCACUGCAGGCACUGAUAGAGCAGAACCAGCAACAGGCAAGGCAAAUUCUCAUUCAAAACCCGGCAUUGACUAGGGCUCUUUUUCAGGUUUCUUUUUAACUUAGGGUUUUCUUUUUCAAUUCCCUUUUUAUGUCUUGAAUUUAAAUUUAUGCCAUGGGUUCUUGUUUUUGCUCUUUACUUCUUGCAUUUGUUUUCUGUCCCUUUUUAAAUAUUGAAUUUUUGUUCUUGCUUCUUGUUUGGAUGAGCUUAUUAGGGUUUCUGUGAAUUAGGGUUUUAAGUGUAAACUAUUUGAAUUUUGCUAAGUUAUCGGGAAAAAUUUACAAAAUAAAAAGUUUCUAUCAUGUAAAAAUAAUUUAAUUAGCUGUUCAUGUAUGCUUCUGAUGUUUUCAAAGAAAUCAGGUUUGUGUUCUUUAGCUCUAGAAGUGGGAGAACGGACGCAGUGUUGGUAGAUUUUGGUUUUUGUUUGUGUUUUACUAUCAACAGCAGGGUUCUCCAUUUUUAUCAUUCUAAAAAGCAAUGCAAUUUAUCCACUACAUGAAAGCAUGUCAUAACACUUCUUAAGAAGGGCAAAGCGGGAGAGGAAAGAGGAAAGAGGAAGUCAUUCGUGUGGAAUGUGUUCUCCCAAAAUUGGAACCAUCCUCUUCCUUCUCUGUAAGAUAAAUGCUAUACUCAAUGUCUACUCCAGUGUCCUUUGUCUUGUUAUAGUGGUAUAAACAGGACAUAAUUCAGGGGCCGUUUGAGCCCCAUUAUUUGUAGAUUAUAAUGAGAUGAAUAGUAUUUUUUUGAAAAAUGAGUGGUUGAAAAGUUUUUGAUUUACGUGUAAUAUUAUUUUAUUGAAGAUUGU